rnacentral:rRNA from 1 species
GGACGAAAGUCUGACGGAGCAACGCCGCGUGAGUGAAGAAGGUUUUCGGAUCGUAAAACUUUGUUUUCAGGGACGAAUGUGCGAUAUGUGAAUAAUGUGUUGUAAUGACGGUACCUGACAAGAAAGCCACGGCUAACUACGUGCCAGCAGCCGCGGUAAUACGUAGGUGGCAAGCGUUGUCCGGAAUUACUGGGCGUAAAGCGCGCGCAGGUGGGAUAAUAAGUCUGAUGUUAAAGUUCGGGGCUCAACCCCGUGAAGCAUUUGGAUACUGUUAUUCUUGAGUGCGGGAGAGGAAAGUGGAAUUCCUAGUGUAGCGGUGAAAUGCGUAGAUAUUAGGAGGAACACCAGUGGCGAAGGCGACUUUCUGGACUGUGUCUGACACUGAGGCGCGAAAGCCAGGGUAGUGAACGGGAUUAGAUACCCCGGUAAUCCUGGCCGUAAACGAUGGGUACUAGGUGUUGGGGGUAUCGACCCCUCCAGUGCCGGAGUUAACGCAAUAAGUACCCCGCCUGGGGAGUA